rnacentral:misc_RNA from 1 species
AAGAGAGAGAAACAUCCUCGUCAUGUUCCUCAUGCUGAAGCAACACCAAUAAACAUUUGGGAGCAGAGUUAUAAGCUGGCUUCUGAAGGUGUAAGUGAAACUGGGUGCCCCUGUUCUCAUUAGAAAAGUAGAAUGUUCUGCAAUAAUAAUCACUGAAACUUGCAACUUUUAGUCCAAUAAUCUCUCAUUUCUUUUCAGCUGUUCCACAUGAAAAAUGACCCUUUAGAAUGUCAUGUAGAGUCAU